rnacentral:lncRNA from 1 species
GGUAAUUUAUAUUGAAAAGAGUAAACAUUAAUUUUCUUUAAAAGAUAAGAUUUAAGAAAAAAAAAAUUUGUUCAAAUGUAGUUUGUUAGGUCUCUGUAUUUGUCUAUAAAAUAAAUAAGGCGUGACAAGGCAAAUUCCGAUCUUGAAGCGAAUGAGGAGAUGCUUAACCAGGCUUUACUCUUGAUCAAAGAGAUGUAUUACCUCAUGUAUGGCAGUCAGAUUAAGAAUGCCAACGGCAGAUCGUGGAAUGAAUGACGCAUUUAAUCGAGAAUUGGAGCAUGAACGUGAAUACGAUUGACAUGAAUCAGACCAAUGAUUUCAAGCAAAUGUACCCCUAUUGAACCCCCAACAGAAGGGAGUAUAUGAUACAUUAAUGAAGGCAAUUGAUGAUGGAAAUAGUGGCUUAUUUUUCUUGGAUGUCCCCGGUAAAACUGAGAAGACAUUAAUUUUGGUCACUUUUCGUGCGAGAUCAGACAUUUCGGUAGCAAUUGUUUCUUCUGGAAUAGUAGUAACAUUGUUAGAAGGAUGUCGUACGGCUCAUUCAGCGUUGAAAUUGCCUUUAAACUCUCAAACUGUUGAAAAACCUCCAUGUAAUAUUGCGAAAAACUCCGCAAUGGCCAAAGUUUUAGUAGCAAUCAAUGUAAUUCACGCGACGAUACUCUAAGAAAAAUUCAAAGGUAAGGAAAUUCUCAUUCCAAGGAUUCCGAUGAUCACAACCGAUAUGCCUUUUGAAUUUAAACGAAUUCAAUUUCCGAUUCGUUUGCAUUCACUAUGAUGAUUAACAAAACACAAGAACAAUCCUUAAGUGUUUGUGGUCUAAAUUUAGAAAAUUCAUGUUUUUCUCGUGGUCAAUUGUACGUGGCAUGUUUACAUGUCGGAAAACCAUCCGUUUAAUUUGUUCUUGCACAUGAUAACGAGACGAAAAAUAUCGUAUAUCACAAGGUGCUUCAUUGAAGAGAAUCAACCCAUGCAGCAAAAUACAUAGCUUCAUCAAAGGAAAUGUCUUGCCGACCCGCCAUUGAAAUACUUGAUUUUUGUAGUUUUAUUAAAUUUUUAUUUUACUUAAUAUAUAUUACCUAAUUAACUAUUGAACUUAAUACAUUUUUUGUAUUCAUUUUAUUACGUUAAUUAAAAUCAUAAAUUAAGUUUAUCUAAAAGGUGUCACUAACAUUGACUGUUAAGCGGUACAAAGUUCGCUGGGUCUGUUAGUUUUUUAAUAGAUUAUAAAUUUAAGAAUUUGUUUGUGAAUUUUAAGUGCUAUAAGUUUCGAGCCCUGGUAAUAAGUAUUUGGAUAUUAUACAGUAUAUACCUAAGAUUUUGUCAUCAUUGAUUUAUCCAGUAUUUAUUAAAAAUAAAAUUGUUUAUCUCUCAGUUACAAUAUUAUUAUUCGAAAAUAUUAUUAAAAUUAAAUAAUAUGAAUUUUUUCUCAAAACCAGGGCAUAUGUAGGCGUCCUAAUAUUUAUUUUAGGGGCACCGUAUCGGUGUACAACCAAGUUAAAAACCAGUGACAGUCUUGGUUUUCCAGGACGUAUGGCAAGUAGCGACCCUACCUCUGGGCCGUAUAAUUAUAUGUGUACAUUGUUAUUUGUUUUUACAAUUUUAUUUUUUUUAUGAAUUAGAUAGUUAAUAAUAUGAUAACAUGGUCAAAUCCAUAGAUCUUAAAAUAUUUUUGUUAUUUAUGAUCGAACCGGGUCAUAGUUUCUGGUGUUAUCAUUUCAUUUAGGUGGUUUGACCAUUGUCUCUUAUUAUUGAUUUCUAGUUAUAAAAUAAGUGUGCCAGAAUUAGUGGCAUGUACAAUAAUUUUCAAUGGAAGGGAGUGUAGCAAAUAAGAAUUCAAAAUCGUCAUCUUUAACCAAGGCGACUAUAGGAAUUAGUAAUUUAAAAACCGAAUCCUAAAAAAAGUUAAUUUCUAAUCAAUACAUUAAGUUUUAGCUCAUAACAUGUCUAAAAUAUAUGCAUUUCAAUAUUAAAUUACUUAUAUUUUUUGUAUUUGUAUGCCAAUUGAGAGGAUAUGACCCUUUACCCCCUCCCCCCUGAGUAACGCCACUGGCCAGAAUCACAUGUAAGGGCUUGAUUUGUUGCAUAUUUACCAGGAAAUAUGUAUACCAGUGGAUAUCAUUGAAAGAUUCUCUUUUAUGAAAAACCGGUGGUUAUACUUUGUAUUAUAAAUUUAUAACAUGCUUUGUAAUAAUUAUAUAAAAU